GCAAGGCCUACGUUGUUGCGUCCUUUACCUGAAUAUCGUGACCGAAUCGAGUGUCGUCGAUUUGAAUCGUGUCUUGCGAACCAUCGUCGAACAAAAGGUGAUGGCUGGUCGUGGUUCAUCAGCGUUUGUUUUGAAACUGAUGGGUACCACAAGGCAUGAAGGAGGUGACUUGCAGCAGCAAGGCACUGCAAGCCUUCGCAGCAACUGGCUAGCCAGUGCUGCUCUGUUCUGAACUGCACUGCGUGUCAUGCGGAGGUUUUGUGCAAGCUCUCUGGGCGGCGACGCUAGCCACGAUUGGCUUCGUGGAUGCACAGAAAUACUCAAGGCGCUUGACGUCUGUGGCUCAUCUGUAUUGUUUUUCCCGGUACCACGGCAUGAAGGAGCUGGCCUCCCUCCCUUCCAUCAGCUGCGAGAUACUACAAGCACUGGGCUACAGCUGCAGCUAGCCCAUGGGUACCGUUCUGCGUCCUGUACUGCAUCUAGUUCGAAAGGCCAUGUGAAAGGCAGGUACCGGGGACCAUGACAUCAGUGAGCUGGCUUUCACCUUGUCCAAGGCAGCAGCGGAACACUACGGGCGGGACCCUGGAUCACUGCACCAUGGAUGCCGUCCUGUACCCUGCACGGCACUGCGUGUGGCUUAAGUGGCCAAGCAGAGGGUCAUUGCAUGACUUUUAUGAGGCGCCGCUAGCCAUUGUUUCAAACCACCCUGAAUCGUGGAUCAAGCCUUGCAAGAUGGAAGUUCUCUUUAGGCCCAGCGCCUCUUGAUGGAUCAAGUCUUGUACCCCAUUCCCUCGUGUCUUUCAUAUAAGUAAAUUGUUGGUAUUUC
rnacentral:misc_RNA from 1 species